UGUAGCCCUGAGCUGUGUUUCAAGAGAUAAAAGAAGUGGAACAACUAGGGGAAGAUCCAUCAAAUAAGAUGAAAGAACAUCACCAAGAAAAAAAAGAAGGAAUGAAAAAACCCCUGUGAUGUACUAGUCUAUGAAGCACAAAGUUUCAGAAAGACAGGAAGAGGCCAGAAUAACACUCAAAACUGAAAAGGCUGCAAAUGAAGCCACCCUGUCUGUGCUGGGAAGGUGAGCACCUCCUGUACCAUGACACCAGUGCAUGGGGCACUUGAGCUUCCUCUGAGCAAGCAAAGAAUUUUACUGUAAUGCUCUGUGUGGAAAAGAGGAUUAUUCUGAAAUAAGAAUCAUUGUCAUUAAAUUGAAUGCAGGACAUUGGACUUAAAUAAAAGAGAAAUGGAAAAACUCAAUAAAUC